AUCAUUACAAAAGUGUCAGGAGUAAGGCAUAAAUGCCAGCAUUCUGGCACUAAUCUAAGGAAGACACUGAAAAUUAGGGCAGGGUAUUUUUAAACCAAUAGACUUGUAAACCUAUACUUGGUAUAUAAUGUUCUGGCUCACUUUGCCAGCGGUCAUCUGUUGCAGAUGCUUCAGGAGAGGGCUGUUGGAAACAACACAUCAAGUGUAGAAGACACAUUCAAAAAUAGAAAAUGCCAGCCUUGGAAGUAUGAACCGUCUUCAUAGGAAGUUUUGAAGUUUUAAAGUCUUUGGAAUUUUUCAUGUCGACUAGUAAGCGUGGAAAUGGGAAAAGAAUUACUCUGUGUGCUUUCACUAUGAGGUUAAGUGUUCAUUACACAGAAUAUGUAGGACAAAGCUAAAGACGGAAGCAAGAGGUAACCGGACGAGCUACGCCAGCGAAAGAAAAUUCUUCCUGUCUGAGAAGCACUAAUAUAGCACAAGGUGCACCCGAGGGCGGUUCCAAAAGCCUUGGCUAAGCUCUAUGCAAAAAUGGUCUUGUGACGCAUUACUACACAGUGCUUCAUUAUGCUCUGGGUGACACUUGCUAGCUCUGAGCUACUCACCGGCCAGUCUACAGAAAAUGAUCAAUUGAAAUAAUGUGACAGUUAAGAGAAGGUAAAUCUGUAUUAUUAGAGCUGGCAAACAGCUCUGCAAGAAAACUGGAACUUCCAUAUUAAUACUUAAAAUACUCCCCUUCCUCA